GUGAAUCAUCAAAUUUUUGAACGCAAAUUGCGCCUUUUUCGGAAGGCAUGUCUGUUUGAGGGCACCAUUUAACAAAUAAUGUGCAUGCUGUGUGUAUUUUUACGCACACGUGCACACGUUGAUGAGCUUUUCCAAAAAAAGAAAAUUUUUUGGUGGCACGUAAUGAACAGCGUGAGCUUUCCUCCAAUUUUUCCGAGUGUAGUAAAAUUUUUUUUCGGCGCUUGGGUUGUUGGAAAGUGUGCGCAAUGGGUGUGGCGAUUACCCUGCCCCAACGCCACUCUUUCCUCGUGAAAGAAAAAAA
rnacentral:misc_RNA from 1 species